rnacentral:rRNA from 1 species
UACAGAGGGUGCGAGCGUUAAUCGGAAUUACUGGGCGUAAAGCGUGCGUAGACGGUAGCGUAAGUCAGAUGUGAAAGCCCCGGGCUCAACCUGGGAAUUGCAUUUGAGACUGCUCUGCUCGGGUGCGGAAGAGGGAAGCGGAAUUUCCGGUGUAGCGGUGAAAUGCGUAGAUAUCGGGAGGAACACCGGUGGCGAAGGCGGUUCUCUGGGCCUGUACUGACGCUGAGGAGCGAAAGCGUGGGGAGCGAACAGG